ensembl:lncRNA
CAACUUUAUAACACAUAUGUUUUAUUGGGAUCCCCGUUAAUAGCGACAGCCCAUCUUCCUGGGGUUCGACAAAUAACGAAAAAUACAUUAUAAAUGGUCAAGUGUUUUAGUCUGUAAACACAUGAACAUGGACAGACGUACAUGACUACAUGACUUAACUAGAUUACUAGGUCAGAUAGGGAUAGACAGACGUACAUGACUACAUGACUUAACUAGAUUACUAGGUCAGAUAGGGAUAGGCCCGCGGUUGAAUCUAGUUGAUGAGCCUUGGUUUAAAAAGGUGAUAGCAAGAAGUUAAGUCUCCUCAAUUUGCUCACUGCCAGAUUCAGCAGAGAUGUCGAACUUGCGAAGAAUGAUUUGUACCAAAUACAAUACUCUUAGUUUUAGAGAUGUUCAGGACUAGUUUAUUUUUUAUUUUACCUUUAUUUAACCAGGCAAGUCAGUUAAGAACACAUUCUUAUUUUCAAUGACGGCCUAGGAACAGUGGGUUAACUGCCUGUUCAGGGGCAGAACGACAGAUUUGUACCUUGUCAGCUCGGGGGUUUGAACUUGCAACCUUCCGGUUACUAGUCCAACGCUCUAACCACUAGGCUACCCUGCCGACCAUCCAUUCUAAAACUCUUUGUUUAGAGAGUUGCCGUGGUUUCACUAGCCGUGGUUGCUGACAUGUACACUGAAUGGACAAAACAUUAGGAACGACUGCUCUUUCCAUGAUAGGGUUGAUUGAUGUCACUAAAUCCACUUCAAAUCAGAUUUUUUUGUUUUUAAAUAGGUUUUUUGAGCCAUAGAUUGGGUGUGUGUGCCAUUCAGAGGGUGAAUGGGCAAGACAGAAGGUUUAAUUGCCUUUGAACAGGGUAUGGUAGUAGGCCCCAGGUGCACCGGUUUGUGACAACUGCAAUGCUGCUGGGUUUUUCACACUCAAAGGUGUUUCCCCUGUGUAUCAAGAACGGUCUACCACCCAUCCAGCCAACUGGACACAACUGUGGGAAGCAUUGGAGUCAAUCAACAUGGACCAGCUUCUCUGUGGAAUGCUUUCGACACCUUGAGGAGGCAAUAUGGGAGUAAGGGGUGGGGUAAUAUCCUGUCUUUAAGCAAUAGCUAUAUACACAGUAGUAGAAGUUCAACUCUCAUGGCAGUCAAUACAACAAUAUCAACAAAUCAGAACGUAAUUCCUGUCUCUAUGCAAUUUUCUACAUUUUUAAUCAAUCAAAUUCUACAGUGGUCUAUUCUAUGCAUCUCCAUUUCCCUCCCACAAAACUGAAGCAAAACGUUGAAACUGGGAGAGACUGUUUGCUAUGGUGGUGUGCACUAAUGAACACACCCCUGGUUCCAUCACGUCUCAGAUGGAACUAACCCAGCUAGCAGAUUUGAUUCGUUGGAAGUUAAGGGAACAUACGGUUUAGGUUUCACAUUGGUUGUGGGAACGAAGCCAUAUGCUUCCCGAACAUAUAUAUAUUUUUUUAAACGUUCUGAGAAUAUAAGUGAAAACGUUGACUGUUCUGGGUUUAAUUUUUAGGUUGCAGGGAGGUUCUGAGAACAUUUUUCCUUUGGUUCCUUGAUAAAACAUCUUUUAAAAGAUUUAAAAAAAAAAUUGUUGUUAUUUCUUUCUUCUAUUUGUUAGUUGUAUAACUUUUAAACUGCAUUGUUGGGAAAGGACUCGUAAGGAAGCAUUUAAUGGUAAAGUCUAUACUUCCCGGGGGGUUUUUAAUUAGUGCAGUGAAAAUGGAAAUUAUAGGUUAUUUUGGAGGUUUCUGAAAAACUUCCUUAAAACGUUCACUGAAUAUUUCAAUAGGACUUUUAAUAACACUGCUUAGGUUAAUUGUUUGGAACUGCCAGCACAGAUAGGACACAUGGAAAUGAAUUCGCUUAGGUAUUCAAUCAUCCAUAACACAGUUAUUUUAUUUAUUGUGACACGGCAUCAGUGAGAUUCAAACUUAUAAUCUUCUGUUCUUUAUCCAUGAAAUGAGUCCACUGCACCACCAGGAUGCAGCUGGAAUGCCGUGUUUCUUUUAAACUCAUACGAAGCUGUUCAUUUUUUGUCUAUUU